rnacentral:rRNA from 1 species
GAUGAACGCUGACAGAAUGCUUAACACAUGCAAGUCAACUUGAACUUCGGUUUGGGUGGCGGACGGGUGAGUAACGCGUAAAGAACUUGCCUCACAGAUAGGGACAACAUUUGGAAACGAAUGCUAAUACCUGAUAUUAUGAUUAUAUGGCAUCGUAUAAUUAUGAAAGCUAUAUGCGCUGUGAGAGAGCUUUGCGUCCCAUUAGCUAGUUGGAGAGGUAACGGCUCACCAAGGCGAUGAUGGGUAGCCGGCCUGAGAGGGUGAUCGGCCACAAGGGGACUGAGACACGGCCCCUACUCCUACGGGAGGCAGCAGUGGGGAAUAUUGGACAAUGGACCAAGAGUCUGAUCCAGCAAUUCUGUGUGCACGAUGAAGUUUUUCGGAAUGUAAAGUGCUUUCAGUUGGGAAGAAAAAAAUGACGGUACCAACAGAAGAAGUGACGGCUAAAUACGUG